rnacentral:tRNA from 1 species
CCAGGUAGCUCAGUUGGUAGAGCAGCGGACUGAAAAUCCGCGUGUCGGUGGUUCGAUUCCGCCCCUGGC